AUGGAUGGGAGUGAUGUCAUCCAGACCCCUGUACUGUGGAGAAACAAGGCUGAAUCUGCCACAAUGAACUGCAGUCAUACCAAGGAUGUUUCCUACAACCAAAUGUACUGGUACAGACAGCUUCCAGGGGAAGGACUGAAACAAAUAGUCCUUACAACUGCAAGUGGUAAACCUGCGUAUGAAAAUGACUUCAGUCAGGAGAAAUUCCCCACCACCAAGCCAGACGCUCACAGUGGAAGUGUGACGGUGAAGGAGUUGGAACCAGAGGAUAAAGGCUUGUAUUUCUGUGCUGUCAGCCAACACAGUGAUGCAGACGUCCUCCAUAGCUGA